rnacentral:sRNA from 1 species
AUGCAUUUUCAUCUUCAGGGUGGAAACAUCUACAGGCUCCCCCAUCCGGUGAAGGAAGAGAACGUGGCAGGCGGAGGUAACCAGCAAAACGGCAGUCCCACAGACUGGACGGAGCCCAGGAGCACUUUUGUCUGCAAGAACUGCAGCCAGAUGUUUUAUACGGAGAAAGGGCUGAGCAGCCACAUGUGUUUUCACAGCGACCAGUGGCCGUCACCUCGAGGGAAGCAGGAACCGCAGGUGUUUGGCACAGAGUUUUGCGAGCCGCUAAGACAGGUGCUGAGGCCAGAAGGGGACAGGCAUAGUCCCCCAGGAGCCAAGAAGCCCUUGGACCCCACAGCUGCAGCCCCUUUGGUGGUCCCCCAAUCGAUCCCCGUGGUUCCAGUGACCCGACACAUAGGGAGCAUGGCCAUGAUCAAGUGGAUGGGUCUUUUGGCAUCUGUGUGGUGAAGGAUGACACCAAGAUCAGCAUUGAGCCACAUAUCAAUAUAGGAAGCCGGUUUCAGGCAGAGAUCCCGGAACUCCAGGAGAGAUCCCUGGCUGGAAUUGACGAGCAUGUAGCUUCUCUGGUCUGGAAGCCAU